rnacentral:rRNA from 1 species
UAGAGUUUGAUCCUGGCUCAGAACGAACGCUGGCGGCAGGCUUAACACAUGCAAGUCGAGCGCCCCGCAAGGGGAGCGGCAGACGGGUGAGUAACGCGUGGGAACGUACCUUUUGCUACGGAAUAACUCAGGGAAACUUGUGCUAAUACCGUAUGUGCCCUUCGGGGGAAAGAUUUAUCGGCAAAGGAUCGGCCCGCGUUGGAUUAGCUAGUUGGUGAGGUAAAGGCUCACCAAGGCGACGAUCCAUAGCUGGUCUGAGAGGAUGAUCAGCCACACUGGGACUGAGACACGGCCCAGACUCCUACGGGAGGCAGCAGUGGGGAAUAUUGGACAAUGGGCGCAAGCCUGAUCCAGCCAUGCCGCGUGAGUGA